UCUAUUGAAUUAAAUGGGUUGGCUUUGUCGUGAUGGUUUCUAUGUCUUCCACAGACCUUUCUUCCCCCAUGUCCAUCCCCACUUGGGCAUGGAAGAGCAGGAGGACAAAAGGUCUUUCUGAGACAGCUGAGGUUCUGAGGAACCUCUUUCUGAGCCGGUGAAUCAUCCGCUACUCUCAGCAUCACUUUCUACUGUAUCCUGAAACAUGGAAAAGGCAGCUCAUGGCAGAGUUCACUUUGAGUGCUGAGUCCUCUCCCAGACCACCAUGUCUCUUGCCUCAGGCCUUACAGGUCUCACAGAAAACAGGCUGCUGGCCACACCUAUAGCCUGACAGCGAAGAGGAGCCACUACACGUCCCUCUGCUGAUCUGAGCUGUGGUAAUAUGGCAGAAGGAGGAAGGGCAAUCCCCUCAGUCCCAUGCCUGCCAGCAUUUCACAGGGUCCAACCAACCCUUCAGACUUUGCACAUAGGCAGGAAUGCAAGACGUUUGGAAAGGGAAGGACACGGAGUUUGAAAAAAGUGAAUUUGAAAACUGCAACUGAACCUGAAACUUCUUUUCCAAGAACUGAAGAGAAUAUUUAGGAUUAUUUUUUUAAGCAUUAAAAAGCUCCACUUUUUUUCUUAAAAAACUAAUUUGCAACUAU